AAGUCGUAACAAGGUUUCCGUAGGUGAACCUGCGGAAGGAUCAUUAGCAAAUCUGGUUGUUGGGGUUGAGGAUAUGGGGUAGUGUAAGAGCUGUUUUAUAUUCCUUGGGGAUGUAAGAUAGUGUAACAGCUAUUUUAUAUUCCUUGACACCAAACACAUUGACUCGGGCUUGAUUAUGGUGUGCAGCGAUGCAUGCUUGAUUAUGGUGUGCAGCAAUGCAUGACAUGAACCUUGCCUUGAGCAAUAUUCACGCUUGUUUUGUUUGACUGAAUAACAUUAUACAAUUAAAACAACGACAACUUUUAACAAUGGAUCUCUUGGCUCUU
rnacentral:misc_RNA from 1 species